GACGUAGGGGGCCAGCGUUGUUCGGAAUUACUGGGUGUAAAGGGUUCGUAGGCGGUGUAGUAAGUCGGGAGUGAAAUCUCUGGGCUUAACCCAGAGGCUGCUUCCGAAACUGCUGUGCUUGAGUGUGGGAGAGGCGCGUGGAAUUGCAGGUGUAGCGGUGAAAUGCGUAGAUAUCUGCAGGAACACCCGUGGCGAAAGCGGCGCGCUGGACCACUACUGACGCUGAGGAACGAAAGCUAGGGGAGCAAACAGG
rnacentral:rRNA from 1 species